GGAAGGAUCAUUACAGAAAGUAAACGCGGGUCAAACCGCGAACUUUUAAACCUUUGACGAUUGACUCAUGUUGCCUCGGCGGGUUCGCCCGCCAGAGGAUACAUCAAAACUCCUGUUUUAACGGUGUUGUCUGAGCUACAAGCAACGAAUCAAAACUUUCAACAACGGAUCUCUUGGUUCUGGCAUCGAUGAAGAACGCAGCGAAAUGCGAUAAGUAGUGUGAAUUGCAGAAUUCAGUGAAUCAUCGAAUCUUUGAACGCACAUUGCGCCCCUUGGUAUCCCGAGGGGCAUGCCUGUUCGAGCGUCAUUUCACCACUCAAGCCUGGCUUGGUGUUGGGCGACGUCCCCUUUGGGGAUGCGCCUCGAAACGCUCGGCGGCGUGGCACCGGCUUUAAGCGUAGCAGAAUCUUUCGCUUUGAAAGUCGGGGCCCCGUCUGCCGGAAGACCUACUCGCAAGGUUGACCUCGGAUCAGGCAGGGAUACCCGCUGAACUUAAGCAUAUCAAUAAGCGGAGGAAAAGAAACCAACAGGGAUUGCCUUAGUAACGGCGAGUGAAGCGGCAACAGCUCAAAUUUGAAAUCUGGCUCUUUCAGGGCCCGAGUUGUAAUUUGUAGAGGAUGCUUCGGCGUCGGCUCCGGUCUAAGUUCCUUGGAACAGGACGUCAUAGAGGGUGAGAAUCCCGUAUGUGAUCGGUUGCCUUUGCCAUGUGAAGCUCCUUCGACGAGUCGAGUUGUUUGGGAAUGCAGCUCUAAAUGGGAGGUAAAUUUCUUCUAAAGCUAAAUACUGGCCAGAGACCGAUAGCGCACAAGUAGAGUGAUCGA
rnacentral:rRNA from 1 species